rnacentral:rRNA from 1 species
CCUACGGGCGGCUGCAGUGGGGAAUAUUGGACAAUGGGGGCAACCCUGAUCCAGCCAUGCCGCGUGUGUGAAGAAGGCCCUCGGGUUGUAAAGCACUUUCAGUGAGGAAGAACGCCUAGUGGUUAAUACCCAUCAGGAAAGACAUCACUCACAGAAGAAGCACCGGCUAACUCCGUGCCAGCAGCCGCGGUAAUACGGAGGGUGCGAGCGUUAAUCGGAAUUACUGGGCGUAAAGCGCGCGUAGGUGGCUUGAUAAGCCGGUUGUGAAAGCCCCGGGCUCAACCUGGGAACGGCAUCCGGAACUGUCAAGCUAGAGUGCAGGAGAGGAAGGUAGAAUUCCCGGUGUAGCGGUGAAAUGCGUAGAGAUCGGGAGGAAUACCAGUGGCGAAGGCGGCCUUCUGGACUGACACUGACACUGAGGUGCGAAAGCGUGGGUAGCAAACAGGAUUAGAUACCCGUGUAGUC